GUCAGGAUGGCCGAGUGGUCUAAGGCGCCAGACUCAAGUUCUGGUCAUCGAAAGAGGGCGUGGGUUCAAAUCCCACUUCUGACA
rnacentral:tRNA from 1 species